GUACACGCUGUGACUAGCAUAUCAAUAAGCGGAGGAAAAGAAACUAACAAGGAUUCCCUCAGUAACGGCGAGUGAAGCGGGAAGAGCUCAAAUUUGAAAUCUUGAAAGGUCACCUUUCACGAAUUGUAGUUUAAAGAAGUGUUUUCUGUUACGAUCGUAAUAUAAGUUCUUUGGAAUAGGACAUCACAGAGGGUGAGAAUCCCGUCUAUGAUUGCGAUUUGUAGCUUUGUGAUACACUUUCAAAGAGUCGGGUUGUUUGGGAAUGCAGCCCAAAACGGGAGGUAAAUUUCUUCUAAGGCUAAAUAUUGGCGAGAGACCGAUAGCGAACAAGUACCGUGAGGGAAAGAUGAAAAGAACUUUGAAAAGAGAGUUAAACAGUACGUGAAAUUGUCAAAAGGGAAGCGUUUGACACCAGUGUUGUUUUCUCGAAAAUCAAUUAAAAAUGGCUCGAUUUUGUAUUGCUUGAGACCUUAAAAGCUCACUGUACAUUUUUCGUGUCUUUUUUAAUGCACUUUUCGUUUAACAAGUCAACAUCAGUUUCUUUUGUUGUAAAAGGGUCAUUGGAAGGUGGCUUUCUUUUCGGAGAAAGUGUUUAUAGCCUUUGGCCUCUGCAAUCGGAGAGACUGAGGUCUGCAGCGUAGACUCUUCGGGGUUAGAUACAUUCGUGCUAAGUUAUAGCUUUUUAUAGACAACUUGUUGACUAUAAUCAGUCUUGUAGCUUACUCGCUUAUGCUAUUUUACCUACGCUUAGGAUGUUGAGUAGCGACAUACGCAC
rnacentral:rRNA from 1 species